rnacentral:ncRNA from 1 species
GGCCACCUUCGGGGGGCUUUACCAUAGGCGGUUAUACCGCCAACAUAGCAAACGGAAGACAGAAA